rnacentral:lncRNA from 1 species
GGCUGGACCCGCCGAAGUGCGCGCACAACUGGACCGAGAGAGCAACGCGGGGAAAGGCGGGGCGCGUCAGGACUUGCUAGGGCAGCGGACUGCGAGCGGGAGGGGCGGGGCGCUGAGACGGGGGCGGGGCCUCGCGCUCAGACUUAAAGGGCCAGGGCCACCUUGCGUGUGCCGCGGGAGCGCGAAAGGUGGAGAUGAGGGGGACGACCCACGCGAGGCCAUUCUUGGGAUCAUGAAGGCCGCGAGUUAAUUAUUUACUCAUAAUAAAUAAGUUAUAAAUAUAUUGAGACAGUCUGAAGGACGAUUCCCAAAACUGAGCUAAAUUUGAUGGAGGGAGCCAGCCACCUGUGGAGUGGAACCCAAAUCAAGUUGUUCCUUAGGCUCUGACUCUACCCUUAGGUGACCCAUUCCGUGUGGUCUUGCAGUGACAAACUUGGAGCAGAGUGACAGAGCCAGCUGCCUUUGUUAAAGCAUUGUGCUUCAGUUGUCCCUUCUUGUAAAAUGGUGAUAAUGUUGCUUGCUCUAGUUAUCUUUAUAGGGUAAAGAUAAAAUUAAAUCCUGUAUUAUUCUCUACUUAAAGAAGCGCUUUUAGGAAGUUCCCCUGUGGCUCAGCGGGUUAAGGAUCCCGAGCAGGCUGCAACUGCCGGUCAGGUUCGACCCCUGGCCCAGGAACUUCUACAUGCUGCGAUUGUGGCCAAGCGCUUUUAAAAGGGCUGUCACUCUGGGCAGUUCUAGCUUCUUCCUUCUCCCAAUCUCCUUCUCCCCGAAGCAUCCACCAGAGGACGCAGCUUCCCCCAAACUUUCCACUCUGCUUGGCUAGAGAGACUCAGUCCACGUUUUCCUGCUACUCCGGGCCCGCAGUUAAAUCACUGCAGCCCCAGACUAAGCUGUCCGUUACCAUGGGAACGGAAAGCCAUGACGUCACCAUUGUCUGGGAAAGUGGACGGCUGCCCCCCGCGCGUGUCCGAACUACCACGCCGGCGACCACGCGUGAGCACGCAGAAGGCCCAAACCUCCCACCAUACCCCUCAGAACUUUCCCCGAACUCCUCCUUGCCUCUAUCCCCAAGGAAGUCAAGUCAGUCAAAUAACGAGGCUCAGCCUGUCCCAAACCCGCCG